UUUAUGGAGAGUUUGAUCCUGGCUCAGGAUGAACGCUGGCGGCGUGCCUAAUACAUGCAAGUCGAGCGAACGGACGAGAAGCUUGCUUCUCUGAUGUUAGCGGCGGACGGGUGAGUAACACGUGGAUAACCUACCUAUAAGACUAGGAUAACUUCGGGAAACCGGAGCUAAUACCGGAUAAUAUUUUGAACCGCAUG
rnacentral:rRNA from 1 species